rnacentral:rRNA from 1 species
AUGGACAAUACUGAAGUCACCGCUGCAAGUGGGAACUCCGCAAAGAGUGGGGUCAUUGUAUGGACCCCUGCCAUGACCAACAUGAUGCUAGGAUUUUUGGCUGACCUUGUUGCUAAAGGAAAGAGGACUUCUAGUGGGUUCAGGGAGGCACAUCAUAGACAAUGUGCUGCUGUUCUGAAUGAGCAGUUCAAACUUGCUGUCACUGGAGAACAAGUUCGAAACCAUCUCAAGAAGUGGAGGAAGAUUUGGGGAAGGGUAGUCAUCUUGAAGAAUUUAAGUGGAGCUCUAUGGGAUGAAAAUACUUGCACAAUUAGGCUUGCCGAAGAACACUGUGCGGGUCAUUGCAUGGUAAGCUUAUAA